CAAGAAUCUUCAUGGAGAGGCGCGCGCGCGGGGUCGGCCGGCUCCCCGCCCACCUCGGCUACUCCUGCGAUCGGGCGGUGGCCUGCGCGGGGCGCCGGGGGUCCCGAGCCCAUGGAUUCAGCUGGGACCUGUGCUAAUCCCCGAGUAGCCUCAGUCUCCUUCCAUCUCGUGACAGACCCUCGACCCUUUCUUGUCUUGAUACUCCACAAACAUCGGUCAACUACCUUGUGAAACACCUUGGCAGUUCCAGAUACUUAGUUGACAGUGCCUCAGUUUGGGAAGACCACCACCACAGAUUGACAGUGUUGCUCCAACCUCAACCAUACAUCACUAUUAGGGGAAUUCAUACUGUCGAUCAGUGACAUUAACGCUGCCCGGUAGUGUCUGCUAGGUUUUUAUAUUAUAAAGGUCUAUUUUAAAUUUUAUCUUGAGAAAUUAUGCCAUACCCAUGUCCUGUUCCUCCAUCCACUCUCACCUGCCACUUUCAACAUUUAUGGCCAGGUCCUGUCUGUGACUGCUGUCACUGUACUGGGUUCCUAACAGUGAGUUCAAAAUGCCUUGAUUUCUUCAAUAAACUGGCAAUCAUUUUGAGAGACUACUCCCUCUCCCCACUUACUUCUUUAUCAUUUAUAUACAUGUGGUCUCACGCAGGGUUCUUCUGUGGGUUGUGGCUCCCUGUCAUUGUCCUGUGGCUGAGGUAGUUUAGUAUUGGGGGCUGCUUUGGUUGGAUACCGUCGCCUUCAGGCAGUUUCUGUUUUUAAAUCACUUCCUUAAUUUUCUGCCAUCAAAGGAUGCUCCAGAUUUACUUUUUGUCAUCUUCUUCUGUGGAUCCUGCCCCAGCCUUAGAAUCAACUACUUUCCCCGGGAAUCCUAGUUCUUUGUAUCAGAUAUGAUAUCUAAGAGUCUGAAUUUGGAUGCUGAGGGUUUGUUUCUGUUUUGUUGUGUUGUAUUGUUGUUUGGGGGGAGGACUGGGCCAUUAACUGCUGCUGUAUUCAGUAGAGAGUUUGAAAUCAAUGCUUAUGUGAACACCAUAUAACAUAUACGUCAUGCAUUUCUACAUUUUCCUUAUCAAAUAGAGACAUGGGUGUAUAUAUCCAAGGUAUGUCACAUGAAGACAGAGAUGAAGAUGUCCAACACCUGGAUCCCUGUCUAAUAGCCCAGGUUACGAUUUAGUCAUCUGCCUUGCCUGGUGUGUAACUUCUUUUUUUCUAACAGCACAAAAACCUGCCUUUCAUUGUUUACAUUCUGUUUUUUUCAAUCUUAGCACACACCUAUGUGUGUGAGUUAUAUAUAAAGGAUGUGAGUUAUAUAUAAAGGAUGAUUCCUUUUUCUGAUUGUAUCUUGUAAUUGAAUAAAUAAUGAAGUUAAUUCUGAAGCAUCGUGGAUAAAUUCUGCAGUCUCAAUAUGUAAUACUACUCUUUCAGCAUACUGAGAGUCAGUUACUAUAUUGAGAGGUUCUGAAAAAUCCAUUAAUACCAACAGAAUAGCAUACAAUUCUGAUUUUUGAACUGAAUUAUAAGGACUUUGAACCACUUUACUUAAAUUUUCUGAUUUGUAACCUGCCUUUCCUUGUUUGUUGGCAUCUGUAUAAAAUGUACGAACUCCAGAUAUGGGUUUUUUCCUCACAAUUCGAGGCAAGAUCCAAUCAGCUCUCCUAAAGUAGCCACAGAAUCGCUAGCCAGUAAUCAGAGGAGAAACACACUCACAGUUGGGGUCCCGUUGUGUACAGGAGCUUCUGUCACUGGCGUUGCAGAACUCUACCAAACUGUUAUUUCCCCAAGUUUUGAAACAAAAACUCUGAAUUCGUUCCUCUUCUUCCGUGAGGGUGCUAUUCACUUGUAACUUAGUUAGGUUUGUUUAUGAGCUACAACCCAUGCUUGAUGCUUUUAAUUAUUUUAUUAAAAUUAAUUAGCUUCAUUUUUCUAAAACUUAAAACGUUGUUUGGGUGCAUAGUUAAAGCUUUAUAAAGAUAUAUCUCCCCUGAGAACUGCCCCCCCUUUGUUUUUCCUGACUGGUGCCACCCCCACUUCUUGCCACCCCUUUCCUGGACACACCCUGUGCAUAGGAUACAGCCAUCUAACCCCCUUUGUCUUACACCCAUGAAGAUACACAGGCUUUUGUGGUAGCAGACAUUGAUCUGACUCAGGCUGAAGAUUUGUUGAUGAUGUGGUGAUAUAGUGAAUGAGUACUCUAUCCCUUUUUAAAGUGUUGCUUUCUAUACCAAUAUAUGCACAGAUGCACAUAUCCAUGCACCUUGGGCAAAAUACAAGUUAAAAUCAGGAGUGUCACGCUGAGUCAGUAGGAAAGAGCUUCGUGUGGGGAAAUCCCAAGGCCCUUUCUCCACUGUGCAUUCCUCUCUCUUCGUUCUGUCCUUCCUCAAGUGUGCAAAGAGCUUAGCGAGGGAUCUACAUGUACUCUCUCUAUAUUAGCAACUUCCGUUCUUUCCGUAACUUGUUGAAUGCUGCCUUUUGCCCACACAAUCCCACCUAAGUUCUUUUACGUAAAGUCACCAUAAACUAGGCUAUUCCAGAUUCAAGUGUCAUAUUUUAUCUUCAAGAUACUAAACGAUACUGGUCCCAACCAGUUUCAGUAAACUCUUCCUCUUUCCCUUCAGAGGCAAUGUUCAUCCUGGUUUGCCUUUUGCUUCUCUGUUAAUAUCGGUGUUCUCUCCACACAUCCUACAGACAUCACUGUUUUCCAAGAUUGCAUCCAGGAAUCUUUUUCCUCUCAUUACAUCUUCUUUGACCUCCAGUGAUUUUGCUCUGUUCUUUUGUCUAUACAAUAACUUAACUCACCUUACACACUGGUUUAUGCAGUGUCAUGAUCAUGUUGAUAUAUGUUUGCACAAGAUAUUCUACUUGCCUAAAAUACUCUCUCUGCCUUGGUUCUUAGAGUGAAUGCAUAUGCAACUUUGAAAACUAGCCCAGCAUCAACUCCCUGCUCCAGAAACCUCCCCUGUAUGGGUUGCAUGCUCCUCUCUGAGGAAUAAACUCUACAUAUUUCUCAGUACACAACUGUCACUCAAUAACCCCUGAUGUCUUUUUUUGUGGGGCUAUCUCAUGAUCAAGGAGUCAAAGUACUAUUUGGAUGUCAAUCUAAAUAAUCUUUCAAAUUAUUGUACAUUUGCAACUAUGACAGAUAAAUAAAGAGAGAAAGACUUGGU